GGUGUAGCUAGUUCAAUGGUAGAAAAUAAGAUUUUUAAGUUUUGUUGUCCUCUUGGUCAAGGGUUCAAAUCCCCUAAUCACCA